rnacentral:lncRNA from 1 species
UUCAUCUUUACAAACCAAUCCAAACUUAAAACCAACAAUUUACUACACAAAUAGUUGAAUAAACAAAUGACAAAAUUCUAAAAAUGUGCACAAGAAGAACAAUCACUUUUGAUCACCAGAUUGCCAUCCUUGCAAUAUUGUUGCUGGAGGAGGAGUGGGGACAACUGGUGAACCAAAUUCGGCUGAGGUAAUAGAGGUUUGUGGUGAUAGCUUUGUAGAAGGAGUAGGUACAACUGGUGAACUCAAUUCGGCUGAGGUUAUAGAGGUUUGUGGUGAUAGAUUUGUAUGAGUGGGGAUGUCUGUUGAAGCAAAUUCGACUGAGGAAAUAGAAGUUUGUGGCGAUAGCUUUGGUG